CGGCUCGUACCACUUUAAGAAGGUAGUGCCAGAAUUCGGCCAGCCGCCAAAAUUUUUAGUGACGGGUUCACGAUAUUGUCAAAAAAGUUAUAAAACAAAAAUUAAAAAAUAAUAGGCGCUGAUACUUUUACCUUAUGUAUCUUAUGUAUAUUUAUCUGAGGUGCCAAGAAAUUGUGCAAAAUUUAUCAAAACAUUUCCGUAAAUUCAUUAACAAUAAAAAACUCUCAACUAAAAAACUAAUAUUACUUAGCUUGUACAUAUUACGAUUUAGUUUCUAUUUACAAAAUUAUAAAAAUAAUACUAAGUGCGUUCGCGGGUGCCUGUCGGCGACUAGUCGGCGACAAAUUAGCAGCAAAACGCAUGCGCACUUUAAAAUGAUAUAAAUAAUAUCGUUAAUAGAUAAAUAAUCAAGGUAUAUUUACCUAUUAUAAUUUAAUAAUUAGUUAUUAAUAUUAAUUAAAAGUAAAUUUACCUCGUUUAUUUAUCUAUUAACGAUAUUAUUUAUAUUAAAUGAGGUUCGAAAUUGUCGGCGACAAUUUGUCAACUGUACCCGCGAACGCACCUACUAUUUCAUUAUUUACACACAUGCACAAAGUUGUGUUAAUACCACUUUUAAAGUUUACGAUACAUUCUUCUUGUUUUUUUUUUGGUUGCAAAGUUUUCAAUGACUUUAUUAUUAAAAUUAUCAAUACCAUUUACAAAAUGCUUUUCUGCAGAUACCUAAGUCGUUAUUCUUUUAUUGUAUUUUUAACUAAUGUUUUAAUUCGUUUUAACAUCGAAAAACAGCGUUCUGCUUCAGAUAUUGAUAUAGGAAUGGUAAUUAAAAUGCUUAAAAGUUAAAUAGUUUCUUCCAAUGUGCUUCUUAAACCUUCCUCAUUUAAUAAAACUCAUAGCGGAAUAGCCCCAGAGGUAGUACUUAAUUCGUCUCACUAAUACAGUACUUCUAAUUCAGUUUUAAACUGAGUUUUGUUUAAAAAUUAAAAUUGUCUCCAUGUUUCAUUAAAAAAUGAUUCGGGGAACCGACGCUUGUAAGCAGAAAACUUCUCCGACAUAAAUAAAUUAGAAGCAACUACAUGUCAGGAGACGGUAGACCUUUGAAAGAUCUGGAACUUUAAAUAUUAUGAACCUUUAAGUCGUUGUCUAAUUCGGCGCUAAAAUUGAUCAGUUCCUUAAAUAUGCCUCUAUUUUGUGAAUUUUUUUUCGUCGUGACCUCUUUAAGUUAACUCGAAAGCUCCACAAAACCUUAUAAAAUUUGUAAAGAAAAACCACCAAAAGAGUUUUUUUAAGAUAGUAAUCUGAUUCAUUGUCAAUUAAUAAAUUAAACUAAUAAUCAAAAUAUUAUUUAUACUACACCCACGAUCAUGAUGCACUAAAAGUUUAAUAAUAAUAUUAAUAUUAUAAAUACAAAAACUUUAACAGAAAAUAUACAUAACAAAAGCGACAAGCCAGCACUUAAAGAAACUCAAAAUCUUGUGCCAGGCACGAGAUUCCCAUUUAAGGUAUACUAAAUAGUCCAAUAUAGCUCUUUCUCUGUCACUUAUAUAGGAUGCUCGUAAAAUCUUUCUCUUUUCAGCCGUGGUAAUACCAAUUUUGGCUCGAGAUUCUACAGCCGAAUAAUCUCCGCUGUAAGUGGCAGCGAUUGUACUACGCGCACAGUUGCCAGAUUUUAUAUAAUUUAUGAAGAUAAAAAGAAAUACACACAAAAAAUUAACAGGCAUUAAAAGAUUUUAAAAAUAAAAA